AUUGAACGCUGGCGGCAGGCCUAACACAUGCAAGUCGAACGGUAACAGGAAGCAGCUUGCUGCUUCGCUGACGAGUGGCGGACGGGUGAGUAAUGUCUGGGAAGCUGCCUGAUGGAGGGGGAUAACUACUGGAAACGGUAGCUAAUACCGCAUAAUGUCGCAAGACCAAAGAGGGGGACCUUCGGGCCUCUUGCCAUCGGAUGUGCCCAGAUGGGAUUAGCUUGUUGGUGGUGUAACGGCUCACCAAGGCGACGAUCCCUAGCUGGUCUGAGAGGAUGACCAGCCACACUGGGACUGAGACACGGUCCAGACUCCUACGGGAGGCCGCAGUGGGGAAUAUUGCACAAUGGGCGCAAGCCUGAUGCAGCCAUGCCGCGUGUAUGAAGAAGGCCUUCGGGUUGUAAAGUACUUUCAGCGGGGAGGAAGGGAGUAAAGUUAAUACCUUUGCUCAUUGACGGUACCCGCAGAAGAAGCACCGGCUAACUCCGUG
rnacentral:rRNA from 1 species